rnacentral:rRNA from 1 species
UACGAAGGGGGCUAGCGUUGUUCGGAAUUACUGGGCGUAAAGCGCACGUAGGCGGAUACUUAAGUCAGGGGUGAAAUCCCGGGGCUCAACUCCGGAACUGCCUUUGAUACUGGGUAUCUCGAGUCCGGAAGAGGUGAGUGGAAUUCCGAGUGUAGAGGUGAAAUUCGUAGAUAUUCGGAGGAACACCAGUGGCGAAGGCGGCUCACUGGUCCGGUACUGACGCUGAGGUGCGAAAGCGUGGGGAGCAAACAGG